GGCGGGGAAGGUGGGCGGGAUCGCUGGCAGGGAGGGGGGGCUGGCGAGAUGCGGCGCAAAACCAGAGCUUAGCCUGGCGGCCCAUCGAUCCCCGCCGGCCACCGACCGCGACGAGUGACAGGUAA
rnacentral:lncRNA from 1 species